rnacentral:rRNA from 2 species
UGGCGGCACUAGCGCGGUGGUCCCACCUGACCCCAUGCCGAACUCAGAAGUGAAACGCCGUAGCGCCGAUGGUAGUGUGGGGUCUCCCCAUGUGAGAGUAGG